rnacentral:rRNA from 1 species
UACGGAGGGUGCAAACGUUGCUCGGAAUCAUUGGGCGUAAAGCGCACGUAGGUGGCUUGUUAAGUCGGGUGUGAAAUCCCUGGGCUCAACCCAGGAAGUGCACUCGAAACUGGCGAGCUUGAGUACUGGAAGAGGGUCGCGGAAUUCCCGGUGUAGAGGUGAAAUUCGUAGAUAUCGGGAGGAACACCAGUGGCGAAGGCAGCCCCCUGGGAUAACACUGACGCUCAUGCACGAAAGGCGUGGGGAGCAAACAGG